AAAAAACAGUACAAAAUACAAAGAAAAAUUUAGCCAUAACCAUAACAGGGCAAAAAGUAAAAAGAAAAAAAGAACAAUAAAGUAGGAUAAAAAAAGCAGAACAAAAGAUAUGAAAAACAUUGGAUUAAAAUAGGACAAAAGCAAAUUAAACCUUUACAUAACUUUUUCCCUUUACUUAUUUCCUUGACCUCCUCUCACCUCCCAAUUUUGUAUUCUAAUUCAGAUCGUUUUUUUCAGCAAAUCCUUCCAACCUUAUUUUCAUUUACGUAUUUUAAUUUAAAAUAUUAUAAUUAAACAUCCUCUGUUUCAUCAAUUUCAUCCGCUCAUUUUUACUUAAUCCUUUAUCUCAUAUCUACCAAAACUGCCUAAUUUUCUUUUUCCAACAUCUUUCUAACAGUCUUUAAUAUUACAAUGCUUUUGAAGAUAUAUUUUGAAUUUUUUCCAGUCUUCUUCCACCGACCCUUCUCCCUGGUCUCGGAUUCUGCCAGUCAUCUCAGCCAAUUCCAUAUAGUCCAUCACUUUCGUCUGCCAUUCUUCUCGGGUGGGUAAUUCUUGUGUCUUCCAGUACUUUCCGAUGAGUAUUCUUGCUGCUGUUGUAGCAUACAGAAAAAAGGUUCUAUCCUCCCUUCGCACCGAUUGGCCGACCAUGCCCAGAAGGAAGGCCUCUGGUUUCUUCUGAAAGGUAUACUUAAAUACCUUUUUCAUUUCAUUAUAAAUCAUCUCCCAGAAGGCCUUGAUCCUUGGGCAUGUCCACCAAAGGUGGAAAAAUGUGCCCUCAAUCUCUUUACAUUUCCAACAUUUAUUAUCUGGCA